UGGUGCUUGUGGUUAAGUUUUGCAUAUUAGGUACAAUAGGAAAAUGAGCAGCAGGUGGAGCUUGUUUCUAGUGUAUAAAUAUGAGAAAAUGGCAACAAUCUGUUUCAAAGUAAAUCUUCAUCCUCCACCAAAAGUAUCUUAGCCAGGUUUUUAUUAAACUGCCGGUCAUGUACCUACACUGGGUAUUUUGUUCUCUUGCAUUAGUUUGGUUGGUGUCUGCUGAUGAACAAGAAUGCGACCUUGACAAAUACACUAAAGGUUAUACUGCACUUCUUAAUAAGCUGCUUACUUUUAAGAAUAACAGCAUGAUUAAAGUGCGGCCCAUAACCGACAGCAUUGCCACCAAGGUUGACGUGUACCUGCUUUUGACCUCCAUCACAGAUGUGAAUGAAAAAGCUCAGAGCAUCUCAACACAAGUAAUUAUUAAAUUUGUAAGUUUCAAUUUAACUUAUAACACACACACACGGUUUAACUGAAAUUGCAAAGCUUUGUUAUGAUUUAUAUGCAGUUUAAUUUACAUGUCAAUCAUCUUAAAACACUUCUGCAGGAUUGGCACACAGACAUGGAAUGGAACACAAUGAAUUUUUGUGGCAUUAAAUCAUUUGCAGCUCCAAAAGAAUUGUUUUG